UAGCCCAACCUAUUCAAGUCUGUGAGAUCUAUUGGUAAAUGGCUUUUAUGAAGGCAUAGGUUGGAAAACUCCUCUUUCAAGUUUCUUUAUAGAUAAACUCUAAUUAAAUACUUCAAUAAUUAUAUUAGAAGGUAUGUACCGCUAAUAUUUUCACUACAUAAAAUUAUUUUAUUAGAGAUAUUUUCUUACAUCCAAUACUA
rnacentral:lncRNA from 1 species